GAUGAACGCUAGCGGCAGGCCUAAUACAUGCAAGCUGAACGGUAAAUGUUAUAGCAAUAUGAUAUGAGAGUAGCGUAAGGGUGCGUAACACGUAUGCAAUCUGCCCGCAACAGGAGGAUAGCUCCCCGAAAGGGGAAUUAAUACUCCAUAAUAUCACGAGAGGGCAUCUGAUUGUGAUUAAACUCCAAGGGGUUGCGGAUGAGCAUGCGUCUGAUUAGUUAGUUGGUGAGGUAACGGCUCACCAAGACGAUGAUCAGUAGGGGAACUGAGAGGUUGAUCCCCCACACUGGCACUGAGAGACGGGCCAGACUCCUACGGGAGGCAGCAGUAGGGAAUAUUGGUCAAUGGGUGAGAGCCUGAACCAGCCAUGCCGCGUGCAGGAAGACGGCCUUCUGGGUUGUAAACUGCUUUUGUCAGGGGAUAAAAUACCCGUGCGCGGGGAAUUGAAGGUACCUGAUGAAUAAGCCACGGCUAACUACGUGCCAGCAGCCGCCGUAAAAC
rnacentral:rRNA from 1 species